UUGCCCCAGUAACGGCGAGUGAAGCGGCAAAAGCUCAAAUUUGAAAUCUGGGGUCCCCGACCCCCGAGUUGUAAUUUGGAGAGGCAUCUUCGGGGGGGAGCGCCGGCCCAUGUUCCUUGGAACAGGACGUCGCAGAGGGUGAGAAUCCCGUGCCAGGCCGGCUGCCUCCUCCCGGGUGAAGGGCCUUCGACGAGUCGAGUUGUUUGGGAAUGCAGCUCCAAGUGGGUGGUAAAUUUCAUCUAAAGCUAAAUACCGGCGGGAGACCGAUAGCGCACAAGUAGAGUGAUCGAAAGAUGAAAAGCACUUUGAAAAUAGAGUCAAAAAGUACGUGAAAUUGUUGAAAGGGAAGCGCUUGAGACCAGACUCAGGCCCGGGCAAACACCGCGCCCCACGGGGCCGUGCAAUUGCCUGGGGCUGGGCCAGCAUCAGUCGGCGUGGCGGGACAAAGGCGCGGGGAAUGUGGCUCCCCUCGGGGAGUGUUAUCAGGCCCGCGCUCAACGCCGCCGACGCCGACUGAGGACCGCGCCUCGGCUAGGAUGCUGGCUUAAUGGCCUUCAGCG
rnacentral:rRNA from 1 species